GGUGUGGGGGGAGGGCACUUGCUGUCUUUGGGGCCGGGCUGGAAGUGAGAACUCCCUAAGCUUCUGGAACUGGGCGUGGCGGGGGUGGGAGGGGUCACAGCCUGCCUAACCUCUCCGGAAAACUGGACUUAACGAACCCCCGCGCGCUUUAAAGCCUCCCGGUGUACGCCCUGCCACUUCCUGGGGGCCAUCGGUCCAGCCAUCUAUUCAUUGAUUGUCGAUACAUGGAGUCACUUAUUUUUCAUUCAUUCAUCACAGAUUAAACACCUCUUCUCCGCCAAGGCUCCGGGACCCGGCCUCCUUCAAGUGACUAUAAAACUCCUUUAGACCUUGGGAAGGGGUGGGAGUCGGGACACGAGUACCUCGUGUCAACAAAUUUCCCUUUAGAGAAAUGGGAGGAGGGCUGGACGCUGAAGUGGCGCUCCCCCAGGGUCGCACCCCAUCGAGGUGGCCACGGGCCGGCAGACUGACCCACACUGCGGUGGCAUUCCCGGAUGCCGGAGGGAGCUCAGCGUGGGCACGCAGGUGGGGGUGGGGACCUCAGGGGCGGAGUUUCAGGGAGAAGGGGGCGGGGCCGGGACCCCAGGGGUAGGUUUUCAGAACCGCGGUGGGCCCUUCCUCCUCCGACUUGGGACUCCGACUCGGGCUGGCCCCGGCUCAGGGCUGCUACCCGGAAGGAAGGAGGUCGCGCCUGGGUCCCAACCCCGGGCACCCUCAGCCCCGCCCCGCUGGCGCAUUUUCAUUUAAACGUGCAACCCAGAUGUCCUGGCCUCGAUUCCAGCUUUUGGCUCCUGAAGCCACAACACACACGCACACGAGUUCAGGGACCAGGGUUGCAUGAAAUCAGUGCUCAUGUGUUGGCUUCCUUUUUACAUACAUGGUUUAACCAGGAAUCCUGAGAUCAUCCCUCUGCCCAGGUACCAUGGGUAUGGUCAGCUGACGGGGGUGUCCUCCCCUAGUUUGGUACCCAACUCUUCAGGUUGUGUGUGUGCACACACACACUCAGGGGAAGGGUCAUGAGAAGGACCUGAGUGAUAUCACUGAGAAGGCAAAGGUUUGCAAGGACUGUAUUAUCUUUGCUCUGUCGACUUGGACUUAACCCUAUAAAAAGAGGAAAGAGAACAGAAUUAAUGAAAGCAUCAAGUUCGGGGUCAUGUGUAGAAGGAGUCACCACCACAGUUUAAGGAGAAUGAAUCGGUGACUUUAAAGGCUUCCAGGCAUAAUUGGAUGGAGUGGGACAGUCAGUGUGUCCGCUGUAACUCUGAAGUGGACGAUGAUUGUCUUAGCUGAAAACGAAACGAACCCUUUGGGACGCUGUUGAGAAAAAUGCCAAAGAAGAAAAAGUGUGCCCACUCUGGCCACCGAAGACACUAGAGCAAUGUCGUCUGAAAUACAGAUGCCAUUUUCAUUCUUCCCUUCUUGCCUUCAGAACCCCAAUUUACAGAAGAAAAAAGAAAAAAAAACCUUAGACAAAAGUCGAGCAGGGCCAAUACUAGUUACUUUUGGCACAAAGGUCUUGCGGUAUGUUUUUUAAUGGAGGGGGUGGGAGUGGGGUGAGGUGUGGGAGGUAUUUGAGUGAGGAGAGAGAUCAAUAAUAUCUCUGAUACUAACGUCUAAGGAUAAUCGUUUGAGAAUUGAGAUGCUUUUGACCAAAUACUUCCAACCUCUAGACGGAAAAGACGCUGUGUAAAUACUUGUCUGAUCAAAUACUGGUCUGAUGUGUCAUUAUUGUUUUUUUCAGUGACCCUCAACUUUGAUAGAUGGGGACAGUGGGGUCCUGGAGAGAGCAUGGUCACUUAGUGUUACUUCGAUGCACGUCACAGCCGAACACAAAACAAUGUCCCCCACUUAACACAAUAAACACUGGGGACUCACUGCCUUGUGAGUUCCUCUGAGGGAACCUGCUUUCCCUAGAUAAGAGAUCAAAAGUAGAGGGUAUAUUUUCAUUUUCUGGGUGUCUGUCUUUAAAUCCGGCUUAGUGAAGCAAGGUGUCUCCUCGAUUUUUGGUCGAGGGCAAGGGGACACAGGUUUUUUCCAAAUCUUAUUUUCU